CAGCCGCCGCGGUAAUACGAAGGGUGCAAGCGUUAAUCGGAAUUACUGGGCGUAAAGCGUGCGUAGGCGGUUUGUUAAGUCUGCUGUGAAAUCCCCGGGCUCAACCUGGGAAUGGCAGUGGAUACUGGCAAGCUAGAGUGUGUCAGAGGAUGGUGGAAUUCCCGGUGUAGCGGUGAAAUGCGUAGAGAUCGGGAGGAACAUCAGUGGCGAAGGCGGCCAUCUGGGACAACACUGACGCUGAGGCACGAAAGCGUGGGGAGCAAACAGGAUUAGAGACCCCUGUAGUCCCUGUCUCUUAUAC
rnacentral:rRNA from 1 species